GAUGAACGCUAGCGGCAGGCUUAAUACAUGCAAGUCGAGGGGCAGCACGGAUAGCAAUAUUUGGUGGCGACCGGCGCACGGGUGCGUAACACGUAUACAACCUACCUAUAACAGGGGGAUAGCCUUUCGAAAGAGAGAUUAAUACACCGUAAUAAAUUGAGUGGCAUCACUUGAUUUUGAAAGCUACGGCGGUUAUAGAUGGGUAUGCGUCCUAUUAGCUGGUUGGUGAGGUAACGGCUCACCAAGGCGACGAUGGGUAGGGGAUCUGAAAGGACUAACCCCCACACUGGUACUGAGACACGGACCAGACUCCUACGGGAGGCAGCAGUAAGGAAUAUUGGUCAAUGGAGGCAACUCUGAACCAGCCAUGCCGCGUGCAGGAUGACGGCCCUAUGGGUUGUAAACUGCUUUUGUACCAGAGAAAACCUACUCACGUGUGAGUAGCUGAUAGUAUGGUAAGAAUAAGCAUCGGCUAACUUCGUGCCAGCAGCCGCGGUAAGAC
rnacentral:rRNA from 1 species